rnacentral:rRNA from 1 species
GCAGGUGCGAAAGCAGGUCAUAGUGAUCCGGUGGUUCUGAAUGGAAGGGCCAUCGCUCAACGGAUAAAAGGUACUCCGGGGAUAACAGGCUGAUACCGCCCAAGAGUUCAUAUCGACGGCGGUGUUUGGCACCUCGAUGUCGGCUCAUCACAUCCUGGGGCUGAAGUAGGUCCCAAGGGUAUGGCUGUUCGCCAUUUAAAGUGGUACGCGAGCUGGGUUUAGAACGUCGUGAGACAGUUCGGUCCCUAUCUGCCGUGGGCGCUGGAGAACUGAGGGGGGCUGCUCCUAGUACGAGAGGACCGGAGUGGACGCAUCACUGGUGUUCGGGUUGUCAUGCCAAUGGCACUGCCCGGUAGCUAAAUGCGGAAGAGAUAAGUGCUGAAAGCAUCUAAGCACGAAACUUGCCCCGAGAUGAGUUCUCCCUGACUCCUUGAGAGUCCUGAAGGAACGUUGAAGACGACGACGUUGAUAGGCCGGGUGUGUAAGCGCAGCGAUGCGUUGAGCUAACCGGUACUAAUGAACCGUGAGG